rfam:Corynebacterium lipophiloflavum DSM 44291 genomic scaffold SCAFFOLD1, whole genome shotgun sequence.
UGAGGACACCUACCACUUAAGGAGCGUUCGGCACGUACCUGCCGAUGGAGGAGAAUUUC